rnacentral:lncRNA from 1 species
GAACGUGACACGGGGGGAUGGAGGGGGCCUCCUGGAUGCUUGGAGCAGAAAGAAGGCACUGGUAGUUGGGAUUUAUUUCACUGAUACAGACACUAACGCUCCAACAGGUGGUUCCCCAGGAUCAGCCCCUUAGCUAACAGAAGAAGCAGGAUUAGGCUCACCAUCUGGAUCACUGAGAGAGACUGGAACAGUGAAACGUACAGCACCAGCUUGGGGAAGAGUUGAAGACAAGCCACAAAAAGAGAACUGAACAGUGCUGGUUCCAAACCCGACGUGUGUCAGAAGAGCCCCCAUGCUGUGCUGAAAGCUGACCCACGCACACAGCUUGGGGCAGCUAGGAGCUGCUGUCUCCUUGUACAAUGUCCUUUCACUCAGGACACUGGACACAUCUUUUGAAGCUAAGCAGUCCAAGCUGUGGUGUCAGCAUCGAGGCAGACACCUGACAAGGGCCCGCCGAGGUGGGCGCCCCAUCUCUGCAAACUCCACACCUAGUAAAGUGCACACAGCUGUUACCUGGGAACACUGCAGCCAGGGCGCCACUCUGACCUGCUGUCUCCAUGUGGUUCUUAGGUGUCUUUUCAGGAUACUCCUCUCAAGUCUCCUUGCAAUACAACUCUCCUAAGGCUGUUGCCUGCAAAUGGCCUGAAUUCCUCAUUUCUGCCUUCAAGUUACACAGGGACUCCUCACACCCAGCGGUGGAGAAACUUGUCCAGCAGUGAAUUUAGUGCAAAGCAGUGGGCAGCAGUCCACACGGCAGGACCGGCUCAGAGAGGCUGCGAGGGCAGGAGCCCAGAAGAGCGCAGGUUGCGGCCAGGGAUGAGUGGCCGCGUCCCGCUGGCAGAGAAAGCCCUGUCUGAAGGCCAUGCCCGGCUCCGGUACAGGGACACCUCCCUGCUCAUCUGGCAGCAGCAGCAGCAGAAGCUGGAAUCCGUGCCACCCGGGACAUAUCUGAGCAGGAGCCGAAGCAUGUGGUACUCACAGUAUGGAAACGAGGCCAUCUUAGUCCGGGACAGAAACAAGCUUGAGGUCUCCCGGGACACGGGCCAGUCCAAGUUUUGCACAAUUAUGUAAUUCCAAGAUGAAAACCAGGGCUCUGAGGAAAACAGGCCUGUGUCUCAUUCCGCUGUUUUGUUGCUAUCUGGGCCUCAGUGGGAUAGUCUGAAUAGUGACCGUGAAGACCAAGCUGUGGCCUAAGAACCCGAGAUCCCAGAAAGGGCCCCCCGCGUCCUGCCUCGCAGCAUCCGUGUGAGGGUCCCGCCUCAGCUUCUGAGCAUAGCAGGCCCGGCCCGGCCCGGGGCACUGCUGGAUGCUGCUUAUCUGUCAAGCUUCCAAAUAAAUCAAGCGAGAGGGACACCCUGGUUACAAACAACCUUUUCAUAUUUCUCUAGGUUGUUUUUGGCAUCCACUCCUGCCUGGUAAGGAAUGGGUCAGAUCUAGAAAAAAGUGAGGAAUCGGCAUCGUGUGUGGUCGGAAGUUCACUGCAGGCGGGGGGGGGGGGGGGGGGGGUGGAUGCAACUGAAACGGGCGGCGGCAGAGGCAGCAGCAUUUCCACGGGAACUUUGCUGCACUUGUAUUUUGAGUCUAGUUCCCAAAGCCACCAUCGUGUGGAAUGAGCGCACUGUGGUAGCUUAUAUGCUAGCUUCCAGGUACUUGAGGCUUGCGGGCAAGUGCAUCCAAGAAACAUUCAGGGAACCAAAAAUUACUUUUAAGUCCCACAUCAGUUGCUUACAGCAAUUUCAGAUUUACCAGGUGGCUGAAGAUGGCAGGUUCUCAACUGACAUUGGAGUCCUGCAGCCUCUGGGCUCCACGACCGGCCCACCCCGCCGUCUGCAGGCUUUUAUGUGUGUUGGUCAUUACUGGGCACAGGCAGCCUUGGCCACCUGUGUACGCAGCAUCUAUGAGUCAUUUUAAAAAGCUCUGCCGUCUGCUGUCAUUAAAGUCUGCGUGGCUAUGCAAAUGUGGAAGUAUCUUUUGUCAAGCUGAUUUUUCUUUUCUAAAUAAACAUCCUUUAGGACUCUCCCUC